GUUGUAAAGCACUUUAAUCAGAGAAGAAGCAUUUUAAGUUAAUACCUUAAUAUGUUGACGUUACUGAAGAAUAAGGACCGGCUAACUCCGUGCCAGCAGCCGCGGUAAUACGGAGGGUCCAAGCGUUAAUCGGAAUUACUGGGCGUAAAGCGCGCGUAGGCGGUUUAGCAAGUUGUAUGUGAAAGCCCUGGGCUCAACCUAGGAACUGCAUCCAAAACUACUAAGCUAGAGUACGAGAGAGGAGAGUAGAAUUUCUGGUGUAGCGGUGAAAUGCGUAGAUAUCAGAAGGAAUACCAAUGGCGAAGGCAGCUCUCUGGCUCGUCACUGACGCUGAGGUGCGAAAGCGUGGGUAGCAAACAGGAUUAGAUACCCUGGUAGUCCACGCCGUAAACGAUGAGAACUAGCCGUUGGGCAGAUUUAACUGUUCAGUGGCACAGCUAACGCAUUAAGUUCUCCGCCUGGGGAGUACGGCCGCAAGGCUAAAACUCAAAUGAAUUGACGGGGGCCCGCACAAGUGGUGGAGCAUGUGGUUUAAUUCGAUGCAACGCGAAGAACCUUACCAACCCUUGAAAUCUAGCGAAGUUCACAGAGAUGAGAAUGUGCCUUCGGGAACGCUAUGACAGGUGUUGCAUGGCUGUCGUCAGCUCGUGUCGUGAGAUGUAUGGUUAAGUCCAGUAACGAGCGCAACCCCUAUCCUUAUUUGCCAGCGCGUUAAGGCGGGAACUAUAGGGAGACUGCCGGGUGAAACCCGGAGGAAGGCGGGGACGAGGUCAAGUCAUCAUGGCCCUUAUGGGUUGGGCUACACACGUGCUACAAUGGGAAGUACAGAGGGAUGCGAAAGCGCGAGCUGGAGCCAAACCCUUAAAACUUUUCUUAGUCCGGAUUGGAGUCUGCAACUCG
rnacentral:rRNA from 1 species